GUAGGGAAUAUUGGGCAAUGGUCGGAAGACUGAUCCAGCCAUGCCGCGUGCAGGAUGAAGGCCUUCGGGUUGUAAACUGCUUUUGUACGGAACGAAAAGACUCCUUCUAAUAAAGGGGGUCCAUGACGGUACCGUAAGAAUAAGCACCGGCUAACUACGUGCCAGCAGCCGCGGUAAUACGUAGGGUGCAAGCGUUAAUCGGAAUUACUGGGCGUAAAGCGUGCGCAGGCGGUUAUAUAAGACAGAUGUGAAAUCCCCGGGCUCAACCUGGGAACUGCAUUUGUGACUGUAUAGCUAGAGUACGGUAGAGGGGGAUGGAAUUCCGCGUGUAGCAGUGAAAUGCGUAGAUAUGCGGAGGAACACCGAUGGCGAAGGCAAUCCCCUGGACCUGUACUGACGCUCAUGCACGAAAGCGUGGGGAGCAAACAGGAUUAGAAACCCGAGUAGUCC
rnacentral:rRNA from 1 species